GAUGAAGAACGUAGCGAAAUGCGAUACGUAAUGUGAAUUGCAAAUUCAGUGAAUCAUCGAGUCUUUGAACGCACAUUGCGCCCCCUGGUAUUCCGGGGGGCAUGCCUGUCCGAGCGUCAUUGCUGCCCUCAAGCACGGCUUGUGUGUUGGGCCCCGUCCUCCGAUCCCGGGGGACGGGCCCGAAAGGCAGCGGCGGCACCGCGUCCGGUCCUCGAGCGUAUGGGGCUUUGUCACCCGCUCUGUNNNNNNGGCCGGCGCUUGCCGAUCAACCCAAAUUUUUAUCCAGGUUGACCUCGGAUCAGGUAGGGAUACCCGCUGAACUUAAGCAUAUCAAUAAGCGGAGGA
rnacentral:misc_RNA from 1 species